GCCUUCGUGGUGUAGUGGUCAGCACGUUCAGCAUUUAUUCGAGAGGUCCGUGGUUCAAGUCCCGGCGAGGGUA
rnacentral:tRNA from 1 species